rnacentral:rRNA from 1 species
AUUUCCUUCGGGACUGAUUAUUUUGUGACUGAGUGGCGGACGGGUGAGUAACGCGUGGGUAACCUGCCUCACACAGGGGGAUAACAGUUAGAAAUGACUGCUAAUACCGCAUAAGCGCACGGUCUCGCAUGGGACAGUGUGAAAAAACUCUGGUGGUGUGAGAUGGACCCGCGUCUGAUUAGCUAGUUGGUGGGGUAACGGCCCACCAAGGCGACGAUCAGUAGCCGGCCUGAGAGGGCGGACGGCCACAUUGGGACUGAGACACGGCCCAAACUCC